rnacentral:rRNA from 1 species
UCCGUAGGUGGUUUGUCAAGUCUGUCGUCAAAGAAUGGAGCUUAACUCCAUAAAGGCGGUGGAAACUGAGAGACUAGAGUUCGGUAGGGGUAGCGGGAAUUCCCAGUGUAGCGGUGAAAUGCGUAGAUAUUGGGAAGAACAUCGGUGGCGAAAGCGCGCUACUGGGCCGUAAACUGACACUGAGGGACGAAAGCUAGGGUAGCGAAAG